rnacentral:lncRNA from 1 species
UCCAAAUAUAAAUCAGUGAUUCCUGAAGUGACAAAGUGAACAAAAUAAGUUUAUAAACAUCAUUCAAACCGUACUGUGAAAGAUUCAAAUCAAGAUCACCAUCUCUAGAUGCCAUCCCUGCAGCUUUAUUUGCUGGCCUGUAAAAUUUCAAUAAAACUAUAUAAAUCCAACUAUUUACAAUUUUUUGGUAACAAACAACCUGUCACAAUGCAAUAAGUAAAUCUAAUAAUGCAUGAACCAGGCAAAAAUCUUUACAAGCUUGUCACCUGAAUCCAUUUCAACAAAAAUGCUCCAUUCUAGCUCCAUUUUUUCAAUACGAAACAGAUUCUCGAAAAUUUAUCUUAUUGCUUCCCUUUCCAUACACAUUGGCUUUGUCUACUACACUAAUUCUGCAUGCACUACACGGCGAGAUAACACAAAUGACAACAUUAGGACCGAAUCGUUGGACCUAUUAAUUUAUACCCUCCGAAUGAAUAUAAUCCAAUUGAAGAAUCAAUCCAUUACGAUUUCACUACACACAAAAACUUCACUCACCCUUUCCUGCUUGGUCUAUGGAAUACCUCGUCCAAAAGUUCCUUUCUCAACUUUAGAGCGGAGCCUUCCAGAUUGACCCUGCGCACAAAAAAACAAAUACAAUAUCCUUUCUUUAAUCUCAAUUUCUUAAACUAUAACAGCAAAGCGUAGGAUGCUCGUGAUUUGAAGGUAACUAACUAUAUACACUAUGCUACACAAUAGGGAUCAUCAACCAUUAAGAUACAUAAAGAGCAAAAAGCUCUCAAAACAUUCAAUUCAAGUAUUCAACAGAAAUAUAAUACAAGAAACNNNNNNNNNNNAUCAAAAGUCAAAAGGAAAACCAUCAAAGGCAAAACAUGAUCAAAAUCAUUUCAAUCCAUCAUUCCAAUUUCCAUGUGCAUAUGCUUAUUAGUUAAAAAGGAAUGAUUGUUAGGAACAAAAAGGACCACAUUUAAGAAUCAAGAACAAAAAUUUCCCAAAAGAACAGAAACAAAAAACUUGAAAAUUUCUAACCCAGAAUCUUCUUCUUGAAAGAUCCAUCAGGUGCCUUUUCCAAACCAACCCAACCAUCAUUCAUCUGCAUCAAAAGAAGUCAUUAAAAAACAAACACAUACUGUAAAAAAAUUAACUCGGAAAAAACCACCAACACACAAAAAUUAGUAGAAUCAUCUUUACCUCUUUCUGAUAUUGUGGUCAUAGUGAUUUUUCUAGUCACCUGAGUUUAUUAACAUCCAAAGAUCAAAUUUCAUGGAGGAGCCUUAUCCUUCCAUGGAGCCUGCAAAAAACAACAUAGAAAACCAAUUAGAGAGAUGAAUAUUGACAAAUUGAGAAAGAUGAAAUCUAGAAGAUGAAUUUAGAGAUACAUCACCAUCCACCAUAACCACCACAUCCUCACCAACAACAAAAAAAANNNNNNNNNNNNNNNNNNNNNNNNNNNNNNNNNNNNNNNNNNNNNNNNNNNNNNNNNNNNNNNNNNUGAAAGUGUGAGGAGAAAGAGUGAGAGCUUACGAGAGAGGGGGGGGGAAGAGAGAGAAAAACUUUGACAAAUGAAAAAACAUUGGAAAAGUAAUCAUAAAACCACAAUUGUUUCCAUAAACUACUUGUGCCAAUUGUUUCUAUAAACCAGCAAUCUCAAAACCAG